CACGGAGGAUCCAAGCGUUAUCCGGAAUCAUUGGGUUUAAAGGGUCUGUAGGCGGUUUGGUAAGUCAGUGGUGAAAGCCCAUCGCUCAACGGUGGAACGGCCAUUGAUACUGCUAAACUUGAAUUAUUAGGAAGUAACUAGAAUAUGUAGUGUAGCGGUGAAAUGCUUAGAGAUUACAUGGAAUACCAAUUGCGAAGGCAGGUUACUACUAAUGGAUUGACGCUGAUGGACGAAAGCGUGGGUAGCGAACAGG
rnacentral:rRNA from 1 species